UCUGAACAUUCAACUAAGAAAUAAAAACAUUUAUAUUUUGUAAAAGAAUGUUCAUGAAGGAAGGGAGCAGGAAGAAUGUCAGUCAGCAGAAGCUGGAACAGAACACAAUAGACCAUUAAAUCUGGGCAUGGCAUGGCUAAUGUACUCCCGACUCAUGGCACCCAUGGUUACCUGCAAAACACCUGGAGAAGACCUGCCCCAUCAACAUCAGCAUGGCAGAAGAGGACUCAUGAGACUUUAUCUGCUUCUCAGAAUCCGUGGGUAAUUAACGGUUGAUAAAGAAGGAAGAUCCUCAGUAGUACACCUACAAGCAAGAGGCCAUGCUCCUAGAAAGAACCACUCACGCAUCUUCUGAUACCCUUGACAGCAAAAGUAACUUGCCAAAAUGUUUCAAACAAUGGUUGGAAACACAACAAUAGAAAAACCUGUCAAGUGCAAUCCAGUUUUAAUAUCCUUGAGUGUUAACAUCCUUAACCGUAUUGGCAAUCAACUGAGGAAACCUGUGUUUGAAUCCCGAACCUCCCCUAAGGAUCUUGCUCUCAAUGUUUCAUUUGCAACUGGUAGCCAUAUUUUGGGUGGUCCUGGAAACCAGCAAAUGAUGCCGAACUAAGGAGAGGAUCAAUUUGAGAGGACAGAGUCUUGGACUAUGUAUAUGGCAGAAAAAAAGAAGAGAAAGAUGAAGAGUCCUUGCCUGUAAUUUACAGAUGUGGCAAAAGCAUUAAAGGUUUGAAGAGAAGAUUCCAUGAAGUGCAGAUUCAAGAGGAUAGCACAGGUAGGAGAGCUACAAAGGCAUGUUGGUAUUGGCCAGAACAAGAAGAUACUGAGUGUUCUGAACAUAUAAGAAUGGCUGGUUAUAUACUUCAAUUCAGAAUAAUGCUCUGAUUUUAUACUAGAACAACUUUUAAAAUUUUCUCUUCAACAGUAUUUCCCUUUUCUAUAGA